ACACACACACCAUGUGAGCAUGAAGGAAGAGCUGAGAAGCAAUCCCAGAGACAAGGGGAAAGGCACCAAGCAAGACCCUUCUUGUCGUCAGAAGGAGCAGACCCAUACUGUACUUUUUUGUUGGAUUUCCAGCCUCAGAGUCCCACUCCUACCCUGUUCUGUGCCGGUUAGGGAAGAAGAACUUCUGUUGUGUCCAUGAACAGAGAACAGCAGCGGUCUCUAACUUCCGCACAGGGGAACCUGCAGGUGUUGGAGACAGUGGAAUGGCCUCGGAUGAUGAAUCAGGGAGGCUGUGUCCUCUGCUCUCUGGCCCUCCACCGUUCAUUCUCCUGUGUAAGUGCCAGUGUGUGUUUCUUUCUCCAGCCUCACGCUCUAAACAAGAUGCCUCUGGCAGAGGCCCGGGUAGAUGGAGUCUCUCAAGUCCAGUACAACUUCAUUGUCCCUGACUUAUGAAGAGAGCUGGAAGGAGUGACAGAAAGGCCAUGAGGAGACCUGGUUUCUUGAACCAUAUGAAUCAGUGCCCACCAAGUGUCCUGCAGAGACCCUGUUGCUGGCCCUGGCCCGGGCCCUGUGCCGGCUGACAUCUACUUUAAGUCGAAGUGUUUACUCAUCAAGACGUCUUUGCCGACACGCACACUUGCCUGAAGACAUCACGCACACAUGCGUAAGCACUCACGUGGACCCGAGGGUUUGCAGCCUCACAGGAACAGUGCUCGUGGAGGAAGUCCUGUGUGACUCAUUCUGUUUGUGUGCUUGGCUGAUGUUUCCGGUUUCCAUGUAAUUUGCUCCUUUUGUAUCAAGACAGAAGUAACGGUG
ensembl:lincRNA Gm13391 predicted gene 13391